rnacentral:tRNA from 1 species
GGGCCGAUAUAGCUCAGUUGGUAGAGCAGCGCAUUCGUAAUGCGAAGGUCGUAGGUUCGACUCCUAUUAUCUUCCGCCA